rnacentral:rRNA from 1 species
UCCCACGACCCUCCCACGGGGAAUACAUUGGUUUUCUUCCGAUCACCGAAAUUAAGCAGCUUCGGGCGCGGUUAUAUUUAGAUGGGGGACCGCUUGGAACCACCGCGUGUUGUUGGCC